rnacentral:lncRNA from 1 species
UAAUACUCAAAAUUUUGGCCUUGUAAACCGCACCCAUGGUCUUUAGACCCUUGGACAAGCCAGAGAGCACACUUGGUGCUUUCCACAAAGUUGCUGUAGGAGGCAUGGUUCCACACGGUCUAGAAAUGGCGUCGUUCAGAAGAUGCCUUGUUUUUCAAAUGAAAAGACCCAAAAAAAAAAAACAAAGAAUCAAAAGGAACAAAAAAGGAGUGCAACAUGAGGACUUCCCGGGAGGUCACCCAUCCUAGUACAACUCUCGCCCAAGCACGCUUUACUGCGGAGUUCUGAUGGGAUUUGGUGCAUUAGUGCUGGUAUGAUCGCACCCGUUAGUAUAUGUAUCGUAUUAGCAUAUAUCCUUUGGUUUUGAGUCCGCAAUGAAAUCUCUUCGCGUGUGUUGCACUGUUUAUAUAGCUUUUCCCGCCCAGCUGCGACGAGCAUUCAUGCAAAAAUAUAUAAGUUAGGACACCACGUUUGACGACACUAAAACCGGGGCUUAUGUUUUAGAAAAACUCCCGGAAGAGGGUCUAAAACUCAAAAUUUUGGUCUCGUAAACUGCACUCAUGGUCUUUAGACCCUUGGGCAAGCCCGAGAGCACUCUUGGGGCUUUCCGAAAAGUUGCUGUAGGAGGGGUGGUUCCUCACGGUCUUGAAAUAGCAUUGUUCGGAAGUUGCAUUGUUUUUCAAAUGAAAAGACCAAAAAAAAAAAAAAAAAAAAUCAAGAGGAACAAAAAAGGGGUGCUAGACGAGGACUUCCCGGGAGGUCACCCAUCCUAGUACUACUCUCGCCCAAGCACGCUUUACUGCAGAGUUCUGAUGGGAUCCGGUGCAUUAGUGCUGGUAUGAUCGCACCCGUUAGUAUUUGUAUCGCAUUAACAUAUAUCCUUUGGCUUUGAGUCCGCAUUGAAAUCUCUUCGCAUGUGUUGCACUGUUUAUAUGGCUUUUCCCGCCCAGCUGCGACGAGCAUUCGUUGCAAGAUAUAUAAGUUAGGACACCACGUUUGACGACACUUAAACCGGGGCUUACGUUUUAGAAAAGGGCCCGGAAGAGGGUCUAAAACUCAAAAUUUUGGCCUUGUAAACCGCACUCAUGGUCUUUAGACCCUUGGACAAGCCAGAGAGCACACUUGGGGCUUUCCAAAAAGUUGCUGUAGGAGGCAUGGUUCCACACGGUC